AGUGGCUUUGCAUUAAGUAAGUGCCCUUAAUCAGCUUUUCAGUUCAGUUUUAUUGGUUGCACCACAGUUAUUUCAUCCAGAAAAUCUGAGGGCCCUACAAAGCUAAGCAGCAUUCAGCACUGACAUCAGGCAGGAGAGAACAAUGAGUGAGGCAGCUCCUUAAUCCACACAACCCUCUUCCGUGCCUUUUGAUUGUAAGAUUUCUACUCAUCCACUGCACCAAGAGAAAAGCUGCAGCCAGAACAGAUUCUUUCCUCUCUCUCCUUUUUGCAAGAUUACUUGUAUCACAGGAGAUAUGGAGAAGCUCUACAGGUUGGGAGUUGGAGGCCAAUCUAUAACCUCAUCUACAAGACCGUUAGGAGAGGAAAAACGUGGAUUCCAAUCAACCAAGUAGAACGUCACAUCAAGUCACAACCACUGCUCACCGACAAGACGACAUCCUUACGCCACUGAAACUGAAGCAGGCUGCUGAAUUCAACCCAAGCAUUUAACACCACUGCAGCCUGAAUAUCAGGUUUGGUCAACAUAAAAUAAAAAAUAUUCAUGUGUAGUUAUGUAUUUUUCUGGAGGACAGUCAACCCCAGAAGCCAGUCAGUGGAAUGCAGAGUGUCCUCAAACGACCUCUUAAAUCAGAGUUAAAUGGAAGAUUUUAGUAAGGAGUUAAAGGUAAAAAGAAAAGCAUCUGGAUAUAUCUGUAAGAUGCAGGUAA